UACGAAGGGGGCUAGCGUUGCUCGGAAUCACUGGGCGUAAAGGGUGCGUAGGCGGGUCUUUAAGUCAGGGGUGAAAUCCUGGAGCUCAACUCCAGAACUGCCUUUGAUACUGAGGAUCUUGAGUUCGGGAGAGGUGAGUGGAACUGCGAGUGUAGAGGUGAAAUUCGUAGAUAUUCGCAAGAACACCAGUGGCGAAGGCGGCUUACUGGACCGGUUCUGACGCUGAGGCGCGAAAGCGUGGGGAGCAAACAGGG
rnacentral:rRNA from 1 species